UGGGCUCGCGGCCUAUCAGCUUGUUGGUGAGGUAAUGGCUCACCAAGGCGUCGACGGGUAGCCGGCCUGAGAGGGUGACCGGCCACACUGGGACUGAGACACGGCCCAGACUCCUACGGGAGGCAGCAGUGGGGAAUAUUGCACAAUGGGCGAAAGCCUGAUGCAGCAACGCCGCGUGAGGGAUGACGGCCUUCGGGUUGUAAACCUCUUUUAGCAAGGAAGAAGCGAAAGUGACGGUACUUGCAGAAAAAGCGCCGGCUAACUACGUGCCAGCAGCCGCGGUAAUACGUAGGGCGCAAGCGUUAUCCGGAAUUAUUGGGCGUAAAGAGCUCGUAGGCGGUUUGUCGCGUCUGCUGUGAAAUCCCGAGGCUCAACCUCGGGUCUGCAGUGGGUACGGGCAGACUAGAGUGCGGUAGGGGAGAUUGGAAUUCCUGGUGUAGCGGUGGAAUGCGCAGAUAUCAGGAGGAACACCGAUGGCGAAGGCAGAUCUCUGGGCCGUAACUGACGCUGAGGAGCGAAAGGGUGGGGAGCAAACAGGCUUAGAUACCCUGGUAGUCCACCCCGUAAA
rnacentral:rRNA from 1 species